UGGUAAUUAGUUUAAAUUAAAACAAGUGAUUUCGACUCACUAGAUUAUGGAUUCUCAUAAUUACUAA
rnacentral:tRNA from 1 species